rnacentral:rRNA from 1 species
AUUGAACGCUGGCGGCAGGCCAAACACAUGCAAGUCGAGCGGUAGAGAGGUGCUUGCAUCUCUUGAGAGCGGCGGACGGGUGAGUAAUGCCUAGGAAUCUGCCUAGUGGUGGGGGAUAACGUUCGGAAACGGACGCUAAUACCGCAUACGUCCUACGGGAGAAAGCGGGGGAUCUUCGGACCUCGCGCCAUUAGAUGAGCCUAGGUCGGAUUAGCUAGUUGGUGAGGUAAUGGCUCACCAAGGCGACGAUCCGUAACUGGUCUGAGAGGAUGAUCAGUCACACUGGAACUGAGACACGGUCCAGACUCCUACGGGGAGCAGCAGGUGGGGAAUAUUGGACAAUGGGACGAAAGCCUGAUCCAGCCAUGCCGCGUGUGUGAAGAAGGUCUUCGGAUUAGUAAAGCUACUUUAAGGUUGGGAGGAAGGGUAGUAACCUAAUACGUUGCUACUUUGACGUUGCCGACAGAAUAAGCACCGGCUAACUUCGU